rnacentral:rRNA from 1 species
CAUUACACAAAUAUGAAGCCGGACUGGGAUAGGGCCUCGCUGCCUUGCCCGUCUGGCGCCAUAUUCACCCAUGUCUUUUUGCGUACUACUUGUUUCCUUGGCGGGUCCGCCCGCCAAUUGGACCUUAUUCAAACCUUUUUUUCAGUUGCAAUCAGCGUCAGCAAAACAAAUGUAAUCAAUUACAACUUUCAACAACGGAUCUCUUGGUUCUGGCAUCGAUGAAGAACGCAGCGAAAUGCGAUAAGUAGUGUGAAUUGCAGAAUUCAGUGAAUCAUCGAAUCUUUGAACGCACAUUGCGCCCUUUGGUAUUCCAAAGGGCAUGCCUGUUCGAGCGUCAUUUGUACCCUCAAGCUUUGCUUGGUGUUGGGCGUCUUGUCUCUCUCCCGAGACUCGCCUUAAAAUCAUUGGCAGCCGGCCUACUGGUUUCGGAGCGCAGCACAUUAUUUGCGCUCUUGUCCAGCCGCGGUCGCGCGUCCAUGAAGCUUCUUUCAACCUUUUGACCUCGGAUCAG